rnacentral:misc_RNA from 1 species
GAAAUGCGAUAAGUAAUGUGAAUUGCAGAAUUCAGUGAAUCAUCGAAUCUUUGAACGCACAUUGCGCCCCCUGGCAUCCCGGGGGGCAUGCCUGUUCGAGCGUCAUGACAACCACUCAAGCCUCGGCUUGGUCUUGGGGUGCGCGGUCCCGCGGCUCCUAAAACCAGUGGCAGUGCCCGUCGGCUCUACGCGUAGUACAUACCCCUCGCGACUGAGUCCGGCCGGGCCACCUGCCAGCAACCCCCGACCUUUACAGGGUUGACCUCGGAUCAGGUAGGGAUACCCGCUGAACUUAA